rnacentral:rRNA from 1 species
GAUGAACGCUGGCGGCGUGCCUAAUACAUGCAAGUCGAGCGAACAGACGAGGAGCUUGCUCCUUUGACGUUAGCGGCGGACGGGUGAGUAACACGUAGGUAACCUACCUAUAAGACUGGGAUAACUUCGGGAAACCGGAGCUAAUACCGGAUAAUAUUUCGAACCGCAUGGUUCGAUAGUGAAAGAUGGCUUUGCUAUCACUUAUAGAUGGACCUGCGCCGUAUUAGCUAGUUGGUAAGGUAACGGCUUACCAAGGCAACGAUACGUAGCCGACCUGAGAGGGUGAUCGGCCACACUGGAACUGAGACACGGUCCAGACUCCUACGGGAGGCAGCAGUAGGGAAUCUUCCGCAAUGGGCGAAAGCCUGAUGGAGCAACGCCGCGUGAGUGAUGAAGGUCUUCGGAUCGUAAAACUCUGUUAUUAGGGAAGAACAAACGUGUAAGUAACUGUGCACGUCUUGACGGUACCUAAUCAGAAAGCCACGGCUAACUACGUG